rnacentral:lncRNA from 1 species
CUCGUUUAAUAAAUGAGCCGAAUGCGAGCUGGCUAGUUAAAGUAUCGAGUCGAAAAAUUCAGCCGAACACGAGCUGGCCAACAAAGAAUAAGUUAAAAAGACUAGAUUGAAUAUAUAUAAAAAAUAAAUUUAUAAAAUCAUACCCAUUAGAUUUUGAUCUAAUAAUUAAAAUUUUACAUAUAAAUGAGUCUUUUUAUAAUUGAGCUCGUCUUUAUAUUUUUAUUUUGCUAAAAAUUAAAUAAUAAAAAUAUAUAUUAUAUAUAAUUAUUUAUUUAUAUAUAUAAAUAUAAAUUAAAUAAAUUAUAUAAAUAUAAAAUAUAUGUAUUCGAGCCGUUAUCGAGCCGAACACGAGCGAGCUGAUUCCAACUCGUAUUCGAUUCGUUUAUUAAACGAGUCAAAAAAUUGAGCUUGUGUUUGACUCGUUCAUUAAACGAGUGAUUCGAUCUCGAGUUCAUUUCGAGCCGAACAUGAGCUAGCUCGCGAACAGCGAGCUGGAUUGCCACCCCUACAUGAUCUACUA